GGCACGCUCCUUAGAUCCGUUCUGCCUAUAUGCAAAACGCUUGAGUCAUAAGUGUGCAAGAGCAUGGUACCUCCAAGAUGAGACUGAUAUGUAUACACUUCUUUAUAAGAGUAUCCUUGUCUCAUAAUGGGGAACAA